GUGGUUGUGGCUCAGUGGAAGGGUGCUCACCUAGUAUGUGUGAGGUGCUGGGUUCAAUCCUCAGCAUCUCA
rnacentral:tRNA from 1 species